UACGUAGGGUGCAAGCGUUAAUCGGAAUUACUGGGCGUAAAGCGUGCGCAGGCGGUUGUGCAAGACAGGUGUGAAAUCCCCGGGCUUAACCUGGGAACUGCACUUGUGACUGCACAGCUGGAGUACGGCAGAGGGGGAUGGAAUUCCGGCGUGUAGCAGUGAAAUGCGUAGAUAUGCGGAGGAACACCAGUGGCGAAGGCGGCUCACUGGACCGGUACUGACGCUGAGACGCGAAAGCGUGGGGAGCAAACAGG
rnacentral:rRNA from 1 species